rnacentral:rRNA from 1 species
CGGCGACUGGCGCACGGGUGAGUAACGCGUAUCCAACCUGCCCAUAACUAAGGGAUAACCCAGCGAAAGUUGGACUAAUACCUUAUGUAUUCGUUUGAUUUCAUGAGAUUACGAAUAAAGAUUUAUCGGUUAUGGAUGGGGAUGCGUCUGAUUAGCUUGUUGGCGGGGUAACGGCUCACCAAGGCAACGAUCAGUAGGGGUUCUGAGAGGAAGGUCCCCCACAUUGGAACUGAGACACGGUCCAAACUCCUACGGGAGGCAGCAGCG